rnacentral:RNase_P_RNA from 1 species
UAAGGGUUGCAAAGUUGAAAACAUACUAUUUAAAAUUGUGUUUUUGGAAAGUCCUAGGUGUAAGAAAAUAUACAAAAUGGAUUAAACUAUGACAUACUUACAGAAAUAUUAUACUUAAACUUAGACUGUUUACGUAUCGAACUGAAGUCUAUAUACACUACCUUAUUCAGAUUUUUAACAAUUAAUCAACUUAAUAUCUCCCCUGCCUUUUGAUGAAAAAGGAAAGUGGCUUGAUAUACAGAAUUAGGCUUAUAGCAACCCUUA